AUGUUCUGCAAAGGGGACUUUGCAUCAAUUAUUUUAAGCCUUCCAAAAAGGAGCAUGUGCAAGUUUCCCACAUCCGUUUUUGUGACUGCGAAGACCCCGACUUCAUCCCUGUGGAAUUGUAACAGUGAGGCCUUGACCCUCUGCUGGGAUAUGAUAGCUCUGAUGUCUGUAUACAUGUAUUCACAAUUCAUAAGAUGCUAUUUUCUUGCAGAGAGAGAGCGAGAGCGAGAGCGAGAGCUUACAUCUGAAUGUCCAAACCAUGACCUUACCCAAAGAUCCAAGAGUGGCAGAUUUUGCAGAGCAAGGAGCAAUGGAUUCCUCUUUCCGUGUUGGCUUUGGCUGGAGGUUUUACACAAUUCCACAUCUGCAGCCUGAACCAUCGCUGCCUCUGUGCUGGCACUCCUGGGACUGCUGUGGAAUACAAGUCACUGGCAGGUGUGAAAUACAGCCCUUCAUUUUGGGGUCUGAAGGAUGGACUCAGUAUUUUAUGAUGUCUUGGGCCUGAGAGUGGGCUAUAAGAUCUGCUGAUGUUCCUGCUUGUCAUAUUUUCUAUUUUUUGUGCAUGCUUUCUUUGUAUCUUGUUUCUCCUCCCACAAGGACUCUGAAAACCUUUUUGUCUUUUUCUUUUGAAUAUUCCUAUAAAGGUGGGGAGCCAUUUUGGAGUCCUUUUGUUUUCUACCCAUAACUUUUUUCCCUUGAGCUUCUUAGUGUCAGGAAAGGUACUAUGACAAUCUGUACCUGUCACUAAGGCAUAGUCACGUUUUUCUUUUAUUUGAUUUCUGCUAUAUCAUUUUUGGGAUGAGAUCACAAACCUGCAUAUACUGUUGAAAGGGAGGAUGCACCAGUGGUUUAGAUAUUAGCAUUAUAAAUUCAAUAAUAUUACAAAUUUCCUUCUUAUUACAUCUUAAUGUCUUAUCAUGAUUUUUAUAUACUGGCUGCACAUUGAACAAAUGUCUCUAUUCAGUUCUUCUUGAUGACUCCUUGAUUUUCUUUUCCCUGAGAUCUUAUAACUAAUUCAGAAGUUAUCAGUGCAUAGGAGGAGUUUAAAUUGUUCUUUCCAAUGUGCACUACCUUGCAAUGUUCUACAUUCAGUUUAAUCUGGUCAUCAUGUCAUCCAGUUGCUUUGUUAUAAUAGGUCCUUGUGGAGCUCUUCAGAACUGUUUAUCCUGUUGCCUUUUCUGUCAACAUAAUAACACAGAACACUUUAACAGGAGUUAGGAGAUCAAUAUGUUACCCUAAUGGAAAAGUUUUAUUCAAGCUAAUAGAAAUACAAACAGUAGGCCUCCACAUAAAUUAUUAUUAAAAACACGUUUCUGUUUUUAAAAAUGAUGUUUUUGUUCUGGGUUUUUAAAUUAUGCCUAACAUAACCAUUUAUUUUGGAUGAAAUGUAGUUGACAGUUCAAAAGAAUAAGAUACCAUGGAAAGUUUAUGUUUUCCUGUGGCAUUGUAUAGGUCUCUUCCAUAAGACUAUAGUCACAAUCAACAUUAAAAUAUAUUAAUCAGUUUGAAUAACAAAAUGUACCUUCCUUGAGAAAAUCAAGAAAAAAAGUUUGUAAAUUUUAGAAAGGCCCUAUUAAAGAGACCAAUAGAUUAAAAAGAACCCUUGAAGAUGACAGUAUUGAACGAUUCAUGGCUUGGCAGAUGUUCUCUUAAUCAUCAGUCAUGAACGGUAUAUGUGUACCCUUUUAUCUGAAAUAUCUUCACUACCGUAUCGGGUCCCUUAUUGCUCUAGGUUUUUGAUGGUUUUCUAGCUUUGGCUAGAAAUGUUGACUUUUAAAAUUUUGACUUACUUGCAUUUAUUGUCAAUGCUUCUGCUCUCACUAAGCUUUUAAUUAAUGAUACAACAAAUGUUCUGUUUUGAACCUCUGAAUAAAACUUUUUU
ensembl:lncRNA